UACAGAGGGUGCAAGCGUUGUUCGGAAUUAUUGGGCGUAAAGGGCGCGUAGGCGGUGCCACAAGUCACCUGUGAAAUCUCCGGGCUUAACUCGGAGCCUGCAGGCGAAACUGUGGUGCUGGAGUGUGGGAGAGGUGCGUGGAAUUCCCGGUGUAGCGGUGAAAUGCGUAGAUAUCAGGAGGAACACCGGUGGCGAAGGCGGGUCUCUGGGCCAUUACUGACGCUGAGGAGCGAAAGCGUGGGGAGCGAACAGG
rnacentral:rRNA from 1 species